rnacentral:rRNA from 1 species
AUUGAACGCUGGGGGCAGGCCUAACACAUGCAAGUCGAACGGUAACAGGAAACAGCUUGCUGUUUCGCUGACGAGUGGCGGACGGGUGAGUAAUGUCUGGGAAACUGCCUGAUGGAGGGGGAUAACUACUGGAAACGGUAGCUAAUACCGCAUAACGUCGCAAGACCAAAGAGGGGGACCUUCGGGCCUCUUGCCAUCGGAUGUGCCCAGAUGGGAUUAGCUAGUAGGUGGGGUAACGGCUCACCUAGGCGACGAUCCCUAGCUGGUCUGAGAGGAUGACCAGCCACACUGGAACUGAGACACGGUCCAGACUCCUACGGGAGGCAGCAGUGGGGAAUAUUGCACAAUGGGCGCAAGCCUGAUGCAGCCAUGUCGCGUGUAUGAAGAAGGCCCUCGGGUUGUAAAGUACUUUCAGCGGGGAGGAAGGGAGUAAAGUCAAUACCUUUGCUCAUUGACGUUACCCGCAGAAGAAGCACCGGCUAACUCCGUGCCAGCAGCCGCGGUAA